rnacentral:rRNA from 1 species
AGGACGAACGCUGGCGGCGUGCCUAACACAUGCAAGUGGAGCGACGAACCAGGCUUCGGCCUGGGCUAAGCCGCGAACGGGUGAGUAACACGUGGGUAACCUGCCCCGAUGAUUGGGACAACCCGAGGAAACUCGGGCUAAUACCGAAUGUGCCCUCCGGCCAUAAGGCCGCUGGGGAAAGGAAGCUUCGGCCUCCGCAUCGGGAUGGGCCCGCGGCCCAUUAGCUUGUUGGUGAGGUAACGGCUCACCAAGGCGACGACGGGUAGCCGGCCUGAGAGGGCGACCGGCCACACUGGGACUGAGACACGGCCCAGACUCCUACGGGAGGCAGCAGUGGGGAAUAUUGCACAAUGGGCGAAAGCCUGAUGCAGCGACGCCGCGUGAGGGACGAAGGCCUUCGGGUUGUAAACCUCUUUCAGCUCCGACGAAGCGAGAGUGACGGUAGGAGCGAGAAGAAGCACCGGCCAACUACGUGCCAGCAGCCGC